ensembl:lncRNA
GAAACAAGUCAGAAGCCUGGUUAUUAGAGCUGGGCACUGCUGCUGCUGCUGCUGCUGAGUCGCUUCAGUCGUGUCCGACUCUGUACAACCCCAUAGACAGCAGCCCACCAGGCUCCCCCGUCCCUGGGAUUGUCAAGGCUGUCUGGCAAAUUCUGAGUCCCUCCUCCUGUGAAGGCAGUGCCACACCAAGUACUUCAUGGGCCUCAUCUCCUUGUGAUUCUUGUUUCCUAAGGAACCGAACUUAUGGGACUUGUUGAAGAUCACACAGCUGGGAGUUACAGAGCAAGGAUCUGAACCCCAGUGCUGACUAUCUCCAUCUUUCCCUCCAGACCCACUUUCUGUUCUUCUGCACUCCAGAGGCCGACCUGCAUCAGUUGCAUCAACAGCCCCCCUGGCUCUGAUGAAGUCUGUUUUAGCUGCCAGUGGAGUUGAGUCCUUGAGAGCUGGGUCGGUGCUCUUUGUGCUGUGCUCAGUCAGUCAGUGGUGUCUGACUCUUUGUGACGCCAUGGACUACAGCCCUCCAGGCUCCUCUGUCCACAGGAUUCUCCAGGCAAGAGUAUUGGCUUGUCAUGCCCUCCUCCAUUGGAUCUUCCUGACCCAGGGAUCAAACCGAAGUCUCUGUCAUCUCUUGCAUUGGCAGUUGAAUUGUUUACCACUGAGCCACCUGGAAAGCCUCUUUAAACCUCUGCACUUGUGGAAUAAUUACUAAUACUAUCCUCAUGAACUGGAGAAAUUGAGGCAAACAGAGUAAUUUCCCCAAGAUCAUCCAAUCCCCAGGUGGCCCAGCAGGCAUGAAACUGGGUCUGCUGGAUUCCAG